rnacentral:rRNA from 1 species
GGAUCAUUGUCGAAAUCGAACGGAAGAACGACCCGCGAAUCGUCAUUGCGUAGUAGACAGAGCCCGUGAGCACCUAACGCUCACGGGUCUCGCGUCGCGUCGGCGCGGGUGUACUCGAGACCCGCGUCGUACCGGCGGACAAACAACGUCAGCACGGAUCGUGCCAAGGAGCUGCAUGGAGAGAAUCGUCGUCCCACGCCUCUGAUAGUCCUCGACGCGGGACGGGGGAUGUACGCAAUCUCUACUCAAAAGUCUAAACGACUCUCGGCAACGGAUAUCUCGGCUCUUGCAUCGAUGAAGAACGUAGCGAAAUGCGAUACUUGGUGUGAAUUGCAGAAUCCCGUGAACCAUCAAUUCUUUGAACGCAAGUUGCGCCCGAAGCCAUUCGGCCGAGGGCACGCCUGCCUGGGCGUCGUGAAUCCCCUUGCCCCUAGGCACCCGCAUGAGCAUUGGCGGGGACAAAUGCUCGGGCGCAGAAUAUGGUCUCCCGUGGGAUCGGCAUGCACGGCAUGCCGAGGUGCGGUUGGCCGAAAAUCGAGCAUGGCGGUGACGGGCACCACGGCGUUCGGUGGAUCGAAUGAGAUUGGCUGCGUCGUGGGCUCGGCAUGCGGCGGGCUCCGGACUUUGAAUAUCCCCGAGUGCGAUCCCAGGUCAGGCGGGGCUACCCGCUGAGUUUAAGCAUAUCAAUAAGCGGAGGAAAAGAAACUAACGAGGAUUCCCUUAGUAGCGGC